AGCAGUCGCCGCGGUAAUACGUAGGUGGCAAGCGUUGUCCGGAGUUAUUGGGCGUAAAGCGCGCGCAGGCGGAUCAGUUAGUCUGUCUUAAAAGUUCGGGGCUUAACCCCGUGAUGGGAUGGAAACUGCUGAUCUAGAGUAUCGGAGAGGAAAGUGGAAUUCCUAGUGUAGCGGUGAAAUGCGUAGAUAUUAGGAAGAACACCAGUGGCGAAGGCGACUUUCUGGACGGAAACUGACGCUGAGGCGCGAAAGCCAGGGGAGCGAACGGGAUUAGAUACCCCAGUAGUCCCUGUCUCUUAUACC
rnacentral:rRNA from 1 species